UCUAAGGUUCUAAGGCUUGAGGAAAACGAAAUUACUAAAGGAAGGGUGAAAAUAUAUAGUCAAACAAGUGAUGUUUAUCCCUUGGGCAGCUGUCCUUCAAAGGUGCUGCCCAAAAAUUUGUGUGCUGCCCAAAAUGCAUACAUAUACACCUAUAUAUAUAUAUCCCUCAUCUCAUUUAAAGUUAUACAUAAUUCCAAUUAGAAUAUUACCUAAACACCCCAUCACAAUCCCUUAAAUUACGAUCACAAUUUAUGUUAAGCAAGUUAGCAAUUAUCACAACAUGAUUACCUUUACUUCAUUAGAUUCUCAUU
rnacentral:lncRNA from 1 species